UACGUAGGGUGCGAGCGUUGCCCGGAUUUAUUGGGCGUAAAGGGCGCGCAGGCGGUACGGCACGUCCGUUGUGAAAUCCCCGGGCUCAACCUGGGAAUUGCGCUUGUGACUGCAAGGCUGGAGUGCGGCAGAGGGGGAUGGAAUUCCGCGUGUAGCAGUGAAAUGCGUAGAUAUGCGGAGGAACACCGAUGGCGAAGGCAAUCCCCCUGGGCCUGCACUGACGCUCAUGCACGAAAGCGUGGGGAGCAAACAGG
rnacentral:rRNA from 1 species